GCUCCCUCAAAAUAAAGAAACAAACACACAUUUAAAAAAUUGUUCUGGAAACACAUAAACAUGAAAAUCAGGCUGGAUUUUUAAAUAAGCUAAGAAAACCGGUGCAUAAAGAACAUUGGAGAGACCACUGAUGCUACAUAUUCAGUGAACCCCCCUAAGCUUUGUCCUUCUAAGAUUGGACCAUCUAGAAAUAUAGUACCUUGGGAGGUAUGUCAUGAUUAAUGAUACUCUCUUUUUGUUGCAGGUGGUGCCAAAAAAUUACCAGCAGACACUGGCUCUGGAUUUUGUUGAGAUGAUCAAGAGAAAGCCUGAUCAGAUGUCUCAUAUUGCUUUAGGAUUCCUUAUCUAAGGAAACCCUUGGUGAGCUUCUGGAUAUGGCUGUCUGAAGAAGGUCACAGCAUCCAUAAGUAUACCUAUGAAAGGAAUGGAAAGUUCCUCACAUGUUCUCACCAAGAACAGCGAUGCCAAUUCGGUCCAUCUGGUGUGUAAAGCUGCAGAGUGGUACCCAGAGCCUGAGGCAAGCUGGAAACCUCCAACGACAUAAUUUAAAGCCACCCUCUGAAAAUGAUGGAGCAAAUGGGAAAGGCCUAUUCUCUAGUGAAACUUCAGUCCUGGUAAUUGAACUCAAAAAUUGUGCUCUGUUCCAUUCUCAACUCCAGGUUCAACCAGAAAAAGUGGACAACUAUUUCUGUUUCAGGGGAAGGAGUUCAUUACCCAUGGAGCUGCACUGCAAAUGUUAAAAGAGGUCCCAUAACCAUGAGGAAACUAUAGCAGAUGGACAUCUGGAAAAUGAAUAAAACCAGACCAUCUCAAAGGGCAGAGCCACCUUCUACCCUUUCCCACAAAGUGUAGAGAUCGCUUUGGAUUUACAGGAAUUCAUAGCCUUUGCCAAAAAACCUGCCUUUUUUCACAAUGGAUCGCCUAUUUCCUCUACGAGUUUGGUAUCUGUGCUGCGGAACUUUCCUGGCUCACGGUUCCUUGGAAUUUCCUGAGUGAUAAGAGCACUGGGAGCAUCUUUUGUCAUCAUAUUUGGUCUCUUGGCCUCAGUUCCUGAAAUUGCUUCAGAGCCGUAGAGGUAACAUAUCAGCAUCGAGUACUUCCUGCAAGCCAGGCUCUCUGUAAAUAUUUUAGACGUGGAGUCUUGCUUAAUCCCAGCGGCACCACAGAGAUAAGUAUGAUCUCCCCUUUUACAAACAAGGGUGGCAAGACACUGAGACAGCUCUUUUCAACAAACAGAACAUGCUGGUGGAGCCAGAUGGAAUUCAGUCUGCUUGACUGGAAGUUUGUACAUACAAACAAUUCACUGUAUAAUGAUGAGGAAAUCGAGACUCAAAGAGUUUGUUAACUUGGCCACAGUCGGAAAACGAAUGCAUAGCGAAGCCAAGAUUCUUCAGGCCCUUGCUCCUGGAAAAGGAGGG